rnacentral:rRNA from 1 species
GACGAACGCUGGCGGCGUGCUUAACACAUGCAAGUCGAACGGUAAGGCCCUUCGGGGUACACGAGUGGCGAACGGGUGAGUAACACGUGGGUGAUCUGCCCUGCACUUCGGGAUAAGCCUGGGAAACUGGGUCUAAUACCGGAUAGGACCACUGCCUGCAUGGGUGGUGGUGGAAAGCUUUUGCGGUGUGGGAUGGGCCCGCGGCCUAUCGGCUUGUUGGUGAGGUGAUGGCCUACCAAGGCGACGACGGGUGGCCGGCCUGAGAGGGGGACCGGCCACACUGGGACUGAGAUACGGCCCAGACUCCUACGGGAGGCAGCAGUGGGGAAUAUUGCACAAUGGGCGCAAGCCUGAUGCAGCGACGCCGCGUGAGGGAUGACGGCCUUCGGGUUGUAAACCUCUUUCAGCACCGACGAAGCGCAAGUGACGGUAGGUGCAGAAGAAGGACCGGCCAACUACGUGCCAGCCGCCGCAGUAA